GAAGCUUUUAAAGUUUAUAAUUUUCCAUUAUUAAAAAUUGCAAAGUUUUAUAUUAGUUUUAUAUUCAGUGGAAUUUUAACUUGUUUACUUGGAUUAUGUUUUUUAAAAUUAAAUGAUCAUCAGCUACAUUGGCUCAAUUUGAUGGGGGUGGCUAAAAUUACGGCAGCAAGCUUGAGUUUAUUAUUAUUUGAAUUUGAAAUACAAAAUACAAUGUGUAAGCUCUGGAUUAGUUUAAGUUUGUUGACAGGAGUUUUUACACCUUUACCAAACAAAGUUUUAAUGGAAUUAAGAACAGAAUCAUCAGAACAAUUAAAUCCAAUGCUUCAGGAAGAUGAUAAUAUCUCUGAUAAUGAAGAAGUCUAGUGAAGAUUCCAUUAAGCAAUUUCUCUGCAUUCAACUGUGAUAAUAAUACUAAAAAUAUUAAAUAUUUAUAUAAAUUUUUACAAUAAUUUUAAUAUAAAUUUCUAGACAAUAGUUAUUGAUUUCUUGAGAUUUGAUGUUGAUUAUAGAUUGUUAUAAGUGAUAUUGUUUAGAAGAAUUAUUAGUAAAUAGAUAAGAUCCAUAACUGCUUUAUAUGAAACAAAUUUAAUUAAGUAUAAAACAUAACAUAAAGUAUUUCCUUUAUAAGUUCCUUUAUCUAAAUGAGAACACUAAACAGCUAACAGAUAUAUCAAAUAAUAAGUAUAUUGACUGAUUUAUUGUAUUAUUUGAAUUUAAAAAUUACAUGUCAGUGUUUAAUUUUUAGAUAUCAUAUAGUUAAUUUUUAUAUACAAUUCAGAUAGCAGUAAAGACUGGUUAUAGAAUUUCAAAAUGCUAUAAACUCUGUAAAAUAUUGUUUAGUUACAAACUUAGGGGAAUUAAAUUACAAAAAAAUCUAUUUUUCUUAUACUGAUAUUAUUUACAUAUUCCAUUUUGGUACAUUAAAUAUCUGCAAGGUUAUAAAAAAAGAAAUUAAUUUGUAUUAAAGCCAAAAUUAGUACUAUUAUUAUUAAUUAAAUGCUAAGUAAUUUGGUACUAGAGGCAUUUAAUAAUAAUAGUAGCAAGAGUAUAGCCUGUUAUAAUUCAUAAUCAUUUGGCUUUCGUAUAUAACUCAAGUUUGGAUGUUUAUACUUGAAAUUAAUUUGUAUUUCAUUUUUAGAUAAACAAUAAUUCUUAAAAUAUAUUAAGAAUUAAUUUUAUGUUAUAUGUUGGAUAUUUAUAUACUUGCACAUAAAUAAUUCCUUUAUUUAAAUAUAACUGUAAAUUCAUUCCAUGUUAAUUGAUGUUUUAUACAUAGAUGUGUCUUAUGAGAUUUAUCUUAUCUUAGCUAUUUAUGAUCAUGUUUCAACAUUUUAAAGGAUUUUGUAAAAAUAAUUGAUAACUGUAAUCACCAAAUAUAUAAAUUUUGGUAUGGUGAGUAACCAUAAUGAUACAGUACAUAUGAUAAAACAGUCUUUCUGAUUUCAAUACACUCUCAAUGAUUACACUUUCAAUUUAUAUAUGAUUAUCUGAUCAGAAUUCAUAAUAAAUCAAAGACACUUAUAAAGUGAUCUUUACAUCCAAAUUUUAUGAAUGUAAGUCAGAAAGAAGAGUGACAAACAAAACAAUGUGUGAUUUUAAUAGUUUAACCAUAUAAUGAGAAAGAAUUUUAUUGAAGCACAGCAAGUGAAGCAAGCAAGCUUCCUUGGUAGCAGCUCAAAUUGACAAAUUGCUGAAACAUGUUUUGCAAAGUAAUGACCCAGCCAAUAUGAAUGAAAUUUUGCACAUUAAUAGAAGUAAUAAAAUGAUGUGUCAUGAUGGAGACCAAAUGGGAGAUAUUGGAGUUCAUAGAAUCCCCAUGUUAAGUCAAUCAAAAACUUUGCAUUGUAAAAAUAUAAACAAAUGAGUGCACUUCCUAACAUUCAAAAUACAGCAAAACUCUUUCCAAAUUUUUUUUGAAUACUGAUCUUUUUCCAUUUUUCUCAAAAAAUUUAUUCAACUUACAUAUGUUGAUGGCUGAGCAGUCGAGAUGGCAGCUUACUGCUCUGGGAACCUGGGAUCAAAUCCAGACAUGUCAAAAAAUCCCCAGGAAUAUUUUGGAGAUAGUCUGACUGGAUAUAUUGGCCCCAUCACUCACCACCCAGCCACCCCAUUGUGAGCCUGGCUGAACCCAUAAAGGGCUUGCUAAAAGAAGUCCUCUUAGUGCCCACAAGGCAGUUACAUGUCAGCAUAUUAUAACUCACACAUUUAUUAUAUAAGUUAAAGAUGUUCUAGAACAAAGAAUUCAUGCAUAGACAGUGUGACAAGUCACUUUAAUUUAGCUCCUCCCUAAUAGUCUAACAUUAGUUCACAAGCCAUUGCUGUGCUUCAGUCAGAGUGUUCUUGUAGUCAAAAAUUGCAUUUUGAUUUUGUAAUUUUAAGUUUAAUUCAAGUGUAGUCAAAAAUUGCAUUCUGAUUUUGUAAUUUUAAGUUUAAUUCAAGGGUAAUGUCAAAGGCAGGAAUUAAUUAUGUGACAGCUUUCUCACAUGGAAGUCCAUGGGAUAAUUGAUGGGAUCUAUCCUCAACUGCAUCCCAUCAAUUUUCAUUUGCUGCAGAAUCUGAUGGAAGAUCAGAAUGAUUUUAUGGAAUUCUAUGGGGCAUUUGUGACAUCUGCAGUUAAGCACACCUAGCUAUCUGCAAGAAAUCAGAUUAUCAUAAUUUGGAUUCUGUUAUGGGCUCUCAAAGCUCCAAAUCAAAGUCAAACCAGCAUCAUUAUUUGGCUGAAAAUUUGAUAAAAUAUUUAAAAAAUAAUAAUGAAUUAUGAAUUGUUCCAAUAAAUUUGUUUAUAAUCAAAAAUAUAACAAUAUUUGAAUUAGGUGGCAUUAAUUUCAGAGAGAGACAAAUAUAUUGUAAACUAUUUAGAAUGUUGCAUUUUAUUUUAGUCUGAUUCAUUUGUAGAUUGUCAGUUUAAAAUGCAAUUUAUAUGUAUUUAAAGUACUUUUUCAACUAUUAUGUUAAUGAGCAUAAUUUAUUCAAAUACUUCAUUGUUUACAUAUAUAUAUGUUACAUUUAAAGCCUGUAAAUUGGAUAAAGCUAGGCUAAAUCCUGCUAAUGCUAACAUUAUCCAAGUCACAAGUAGAUAAAGCUGAUAUUAUCCAAAAAUGGAUGGAAGAAACAAGAAUAAAACUUAAAAUUUGAUUUUAUCCAGAUAAUGGGCAGUUUAUCUACUGCUAUUUGAAUACAGCUGAAUGUAUAAUUUGUCUUUUUAUGGGCAUGAGUAUUUUGUUUUUUAGCCAAUACAUGGAUAAUGGAAACAGAGCAAUGUUGUCAAGUUUGACAGCUUAUCACCAUAUUUCAAGCCCCAUUGAUGACAUGACAACAAUUUUUUCAAUCUGGUGAACUUUUCAAAAAACACUUGUAAAAUUCAGGACUAUAUUACAUUUAAUAAAUACAAUUGAAAACAAACAAAAAAUAGAUCUUAAAAGUCUUUUCAAACACACACAGGAUCAUGUAAAAACAUACUCUACCACUACUUUUAUUUGAGGCUAUUAUCUGAAAAAAAUUGCAAAAUACAUUAAAACCUGACUAGAAGAUCUUUCAUAAUUAUUUUACUUUUUCCAUUGUGUUUAAUACUAUGACCAACCUGAUACACCAUUUAAAAUCUACAUACAUGUCAGUAUUCUGUAAAUCAAAAUACUUCUUUUUAUUACUUUAAAGUUAAAUAUACAGUUUUUAGCUUUAAAAGUAUGGUUUUUUAAUUAAAUUUGAUGAUAUUUUGGUGAAAUAAGUAGCGACAUUUAUUUUCAUUCACUUCCUUUUUAUGCAAUAGAGAAAUAAUAAAUUUUAGUUUAUUUUAAAAACUUUUUUUUUAUACAUCCAACCUGCAUCAGAAAGAUUGCCAAUUAUCUGGCUAAAAUCAGUUUUAUCUAGACCAAGGGUGAUGUUUGCACCUAUUAGCUGAAACUAAAAGUAUGGGAAAAGGAGGGAAAAAAGAAUAGAAUAUAAUGGGAACAUUUUAUUUUAUUCAUAAAUGCACACUGAAAUUUUUCCAAUGUACUUUUCCAGUAUACAUUGUCUUAUAAUGUAUAUACAGCUAAACAGUAUGCAAAGUUGUUUGCAAUUAACAAAACUCACUCAGCAAAUAAUUGACCACCCAACUACACCUUAAGUUGCCAAGACAAUUUAUUUAAACCUAACGAAUGUUUUUGGCCUAUUCAAUAGGCCAUCCUCAGGUUAAAUGAGAAAAAACAGUCUUUUAAAUGUUUGUUUGCAAGUUAUUUAGUUAUAAAGCUCUAAUAAACGUUGCUUCUAGGUGAUAAACUAUAAUGAUAUAAUUUUAGAUAUUCAAUAACUAUAUUCAUUGUAUUCAACUUUAUUUUUAUAUUGGAUAUAUGAUUUUAUGAGUGCCUAUUUAGACUGCUUGGGAAGGAAUUUCUAACCUUUGGAGAGGAAAACUCUCUCCCAAAAAUACCCUAGAUAAAAUGGUGGGACAAAGUGAAAUCCCAAAUUUUCUUGUUUUAUUCAAAAUGAGGUGGAUAAAACCUGAAUUUUAAGUUUUAUUAUUUCUUGUUUUAUCUGUUUUUGGAUAAUUUCAGCUUUAUCCACUUGUGGCUUGGAUAAAGCAUGCUUUAUAUAGAUAAGGUUCAAAAUUAAUAGAUUGAUGCUUGCUUUAAUCAAAAGACUUCUAUAAAGCUAGCAUUUGCCAGUUAUCUUAGCUUUAUCUGAUUAUUUAGGCUUUAGUAUUUUUUACAUGAAAAUUUUCUUUUUUAAAAACACAGCUAAUAGUUCAUGCCAAAUGAUUGCCAGAUUAUAUCAGACUAUAUUAAUGCUAAUA
rnacentral:lncRNA from 1 species